UUCUUAGUUUUAAAUAAAUUUGUAUUGUUCACAGACCAUAUUCCAACUGUUUGUAUGCAUGCGAUAAUGCCAAUCCACUAGGUUAGCAGAUAAGAAGUGUCUCUGGGAUACACAUGCUGCAGUUAAUGGAGGUAUUGUUAGCUUUUAUUUUUCCAGCAUCUAAAGAUCCCCAGUUACUGCAACUAGUACUGGAAGGUUCUACAAAAACGAUGGCACCAGAGAUACACUUUAGAAGGAAACAUACGAGGGAAACAUCUGAUAGAGCUAAAAUGAUGAAUUAGAAUGAAAUGUGUGUGUGUGUCUGUGUGUGGGCGAGUGUGUGUGUUUGUGUGUGUGUGGGAGAGAGAGUGUGUGGGAGAGAGAGUGUGUGUGUGUGUGUGUGUGUGUGGGAGAGUGUGUGUGUGUGUGGGAAAUUGUGUGUGUGUGUGAGAGAGAGAGAGUAAAACAUACUGCACACAUUGGACUUGCAAGGUGCAUCAUCCAGAGAACUUAUAUGUACAUCUUCAUGAGAAAAUAGCCAAGCUGAGAAAAUCUACCAAGUAGGUCUGCUGUCACACCUCAUUGGUAACACAUUGGAAAUCAAGCCCUGCUAUUCCUGGAGUCGUCACAAAAGUUAAAGAUUUUAUCAAGGGUCCUCUUAAUCUUUGGCUGAAAGGUUAGCAUAUAAAGUGACCAGCCCUUGGGGAUUUGAAGAUAUGAUGCGUUAGGGAACUGUUCUUCCAUCUCUGAUCCUGGGGAAGAAUCUAAAAUGAAAAAAUAUUUUGAUCAAAUUCCUCUCCGAAAGCCUCAAUUGACACUGCCUCCACAACACUCAGACAAGAUCAUAAUUCAAGAUCACCUAUGGACAUAUUGAACCUUGACUGCAGCAUGGAUUUUCUUUAAAGGAGGUACAGCCAAACGGGGAGUGUGGAUGUAUAGUCAGUAUCUGUCUGGUGAGGAACCAUGGAAUGCUGCACUAGAAGGAGCAGAACGCCCACAAUAGGGCAGAAAGGACAGGUGGAGGAGCCUAACAUCAGAUCCCUCAUCCCUUUAUGAGGAAAGAAUCCUGUCCCUUGCAGGAGGAGACUAGGAGACAUUCAUGCCCCACCAAAAGGCUGAUACAACCAAAAAUGGCAGCGAAUAUAAAUUAAGCAGCUAUCUGAAGAGAGAGAGAGACCCAUGGAAGUAACAUCUAGAUAUGCAAAGGGAAAUGUGUAACAACAGUCCUUCAAAUGGGGAAAGAGCCCAUUUCUGAAGAAGGGUACCGACCCGAAACGUCAACUUUCCUGCUCCUCUGAUGCUGCCUGGCCUGCUGUGUUCCUCCAGCUUCACACUGUGUUAUCUCAAAACAGACUCAACAGUGAUUCUCGAGACUACAAAAACAAUGAGGGGGUUAAUGCAGCGCCUGCAGAACAAGAAGCCACAGCCCUUCAUUCUCACUAGACUCUAGGUUCGAGUUAUAAGAAGAGACUGGACUGACUGGGCCUUUUUUGACUGAAUCAUAAGAAGCUGUAGGGUGACCUAGGUUUAUAAAAUAAUGACGGGCAUAGAUAAGGUGAAUAGUAAAUGUCUUUUCCCUAAGAUGGAGGAAUUUAAAACUUGGGGUCAUAUUUUUAAGGUGAGAGGAGAAAGGUGAGACGGGACGUGAUGGUCUAGUGGUAUUAUUGCUGGACUUUUAAUCCAGAGACCCAGAUAACAUUCUGGGGAUGUGGGUUCAAAUCCCACCAUGGCAGAUGGUGGAAUUUGAAUUCAAUUAAACUCAAUUAAAAAAUAUCUGGAAUUAAGAAUCCAAUGAUGACCGUGAAUCCAUUGUUGAUUGUCAGGAAAAACCCAUCAGGUUCACUAAUGUCCUUUAGGGAAGGAAACUGCCAUCCUUACCUGGUCUGGCCUACAUAUGACUCCAGACCCACAGCAAUAUGGUUGUCUCUGAACUGCCCUCUGGGCAAUAAAUGCUGCCUGGUCAGCAACACCCUCGGCCCAUUAAUGAAUAAAGAAGAAAAAAAUUUAAAAGAGACCUGAGGGCAACAUUUUAAUACAAAGAGUGGUUCAUAUGUGAAAUUAAAUUCUAGGACCGAAACAUCAGCCUUCCUGCUCCUCUGAUGCUGCUUGGCCUGCUGUGUUCAUCCAGCUCUACACCUUGUUAUUUCAGACAUUUGGACAGGACAGGUUUAGAAGGAUAUGGGCCAAACACAGGCAAAUAGGACUAUUUUAGUUUGGGAAAAUUGGUCAGCAUUGACAUGUUGGACUGAAAGGUCUGUUUCUGUGCUAUAUGACACUAUGCCUCUAUGAAUAAGAUGUCCCAAACUGCAGGCAUAUGUUAUACCUUCCUGUUCAAUAAUACACAAGGACACGGGUUAAAUGCCGGUUUCAACUCCACUGCAGUGUUCUAGUGAGACUGAAUGUUUUCAUGUGUACUAGUCUGAGUUCAUGCAUUAGCAAGCUGUGAAGGUCAUAGUCAGACAAACAGCCCCUAGUCACCCCUGUAAGAGACUCUUUUAUUCUGGAUGCUAAAAGACAGCCAGUUAGCAGCCAGACAUUAGGACAACAAAUGGAUUUGCUCUCACUCCAAAUCUAGCGGUUCAAUCACAGUUGAAAGGAAUCAGAACAACUGAUCUGCAAAACAAAGGGCAUGAAAUCAGUCACUCAACUAUUGGAGUUAAUGCUACUGGUAACCGCAACAAUGGCCACAACGUUCAACUAUCCAACUCUUUGCAAAGAAUUUAGAUUCAAAAGUCUUAUUUUUAUCUUAUUUCUAAUCUGUUUGUAUGCAUGCUGCAUUUCUAAUUCCUCUUACAUUUAGUAAUUCAUAAAUUCAAUCUUUGGUAACUCAAGAAGGCCUGGUUAAGAGUCUACAACAUAGAAUGAGCUUCUUCUUAGCCACAACAGCCAUCAAGCACCAACCUACUCUAGUCAUAUUUUCCACCACUUGGCCCAUAGCCCUGUAUGAUAUAGCGCUUCAAACAUUCAUCUAAGUACUUCUUGAAUGUUGUAAUAGUUACCUUUUCUGCCAUUCUUUCAAGCAUGAGUUCCAGAUACUCACCAUCUCCUGGGUUAAUUUCUUUUCCUUAAAUGUCCUCUAAACCUUUGGCCCCUUACUUUAAAUCUACGUGCUCUGGUCAUUGAACGCCACCAAAGGGAGAGGUCUCUUUCAAUCUACCUUAUCAAUGCCCCUCAUAAUUUGGUACACUUUAAUCAGGUUUCCUCCUCAGCCUUCUCUGCUCUAAAGAAACCAACCCAGUCUAUCUAGAAUAAAACAAAGGGCUGCAGAUGCUGAGGAUCUCAAACAGAAGCAGAAAGUGAUGGAGAAAGCCAGCAUGUCUGGCAGCAUUUGUGGAGAGAAAGCAGAAUCAAUGUUUUGAGUCCAGCCAUGCUUCAUCAAAACUAAUAGCAGCUAGGAAAAGUAGGUAUUAAUUCUGAAGAGAAGUUUGGGGGGACGUGAACAGAUCGAUGGAAAUGGAGUCCAGAGAGAGAGAGAGAAAUAUGAAAGGGACAGGCAGUCAAGGGGUUUGUUGAUAGCAGGACUGAAAAGAAACUGAAUAAGUGAUAAUAAGAGCUGAGAGUAGGUGAGAAUAGGUAGGCUGUGCUGAAAGCAACCCAUAUGAUCUGAUGAGGUAGUAGGAACUGCUGAUACUGUAGUCAGAGAUAACAAGUUGUUGCCGGGAAUGGAGGGUUUGCGUUAUAAGGAGAGGCUGGAUUGGCUGGGUCUUUUUCACUGGAGCAUAGGAAGUUGAGGGGUGUCCUUAUAGAGUUUUAUAAAAUCUUGAGGGCUUUAGGCAAAGUGAAUGGCAGGUGUUUAUUCUGUAGGGUAGGGGAUUUCAAGAUUAGGGGGCAUAUUUUUAAGGUGAGAGAUAAAAGAUUUAAAAAAGACAUAAGCGACAAUUUUUUCACACAAACGGUAGUUUGUGUGUGGAAUGCACUUCCAGAGGAAGUGAUGGAUGCGGGUACAGUUAGAAUGUUUAAAAGUUAUUUGGAUAAAUGGAGGGGUGGCAUGGUACCUCAGUGGUUAGCACUGUUGUCUCACAGCUCCAGGGACCCGGGUUUGAUUCCACUCUCGGGCGACUGUCUGUGUGGAGUUUGCACGUUCUCCCCGUGUGUGUGCGGGUUUCCUCCGGAUGGUCUGGUUUCCUCCCACAGCCCAAAGAUGUGCAGGUUAGGUGGAUUGGCCAUGCCAAAUUGCCCAUAGUGUUCAGGGAUGUGUAGUUUAGGUGGGUUAUAGGGGGAUGGGUCUGGGUGGGAUGCUCCAAGGUUCGGUGUGGACUUGUGCCGAAGGGCUUGUUUCCACACUGUAAAGAUUCUAUGAUUCUAUCCUAAGGUGCAGAGCUGGAUGAACACAGCAGGCCAGGCAGCAUCAGAGGAGCAGCGGAUACAAUAUUGUAUCCUGAUGUGGCCUUCUCUACAUCGGGGAAACCAAGCAGAGGCUUGGAGACUGCUUUGUGGAGCACCUACGCUUGGUUCGUGACAAACGACAACACCUCCCAGUCGCGAACCACUUCAACUCCCCCUCCCACUCCUUGGACGACAUGUCCAUCCUGGGCCUCCUCCAGUGCCACAACGAUGCCACCCAAAGGCUGGAGGAACAGCACCUCAUAUUCCGCCUGGGAACCCCGCAGCCCAAUGGUGUCAAUGUGGACUUUACAAGCUUCAAAAUCUCCCCACCCCUGACCUCAUCCCAUGACCAGCUCGUCUCGUCACCGCCUCCUUGACCUGUCCGUCUUUUCUCCCACCUACCUGCCCCUCCCUCCUCACUGACCAACCCCCAUCCCAACUCCCUACCUACACUCACCUGUACUGGCUUCAUCCCUGCCUCUUUGACCUGUCCGUCUUCUCUCCACGUAUCUACUCCUCUAUCCAAUUUCUAUCAUCGUCUUCCCCUCUCUCUAUUUAUUUCAGAGCCCUCUCCCCUCCCCCAUUUGUGAAGAAGGGUCCAGACCCAAAACGUCAGUUUUCCUGCUCCUCUGAUGCUGCCUGGCCUGCUAUGUUCAUCCAGCUCUACACCUUGUAAUCCCAUAUGAUCUGAUGAUAGGCCGAGAGUGAGUGAGAAUGGGUUAUGUGCUAAAAACAACCCAUGUCACGUCAAGACCGUGUGUGAGGAUUUGUUAAAAACAAAGGAUUGAUUCAGGCUGCAAAGUUAGUAGACUUGAUGUUGCGCCCUGGUCCCAGUCUUUCUUAAUCUCUCUUCAUAACUGAAUCGCUCCAGCCCUGGCAACAUCCUGGUGAAUCUCUUCUGCACCCUCUCUAGUGUAAUCACUUCCUUGCUAAAGAGUGGGAAUCAGAACAGCACACAGUACUCCAGCUAUGCUUAACUAGCAUCUUAUACAGCUCCAGCUUACUCUCCCUGCACUUGUAUUCAAAGUUGUAGUUAAUAAAAGCAAGUAUCCUACAUGCCUUCUUAACUACCUUUGCCACCUGUCCUGUUGGCAACUGUUAUAUAAUGUUUUCCAAUACUUGCUAUAGACUUUUCUGGCCAAUUGGGAACAUCAGAUUCAGAUUUUAGGUUCCUUGUUACAAUGAGACUUGUUGAGUUUAUGUCACAGGUUUGAAAGCAGUGAGUACAAUGUAUUGUACGUGAUUGUUUGAGGCCUCAUUGUUAUCUGCAGUGUUUGACAACUACUGCCUUUCAAAUGAAGUACACAAUGAAGGCAGAUUCAGUGGCACUAUUUACCCAGAAGGCUCCAGGGCGAGUAGCUAAUUGACCCGGAAGGCACUCUAUGCAGAAGAAGCAGUUCAAUUAGAAAUGAAACUAGACAGCUGGUAACAGCCAUUCUGUGAGUUAUAACGAACACUGACAAGAUGUGUUAAUAGCUACCAGCUCUGAUUUAUCAGUCAAGUCCUUAUGCUGUCAAGUUUCUUAAUUGCGGACAGGAAAUUGGAACCGUGAUGUUAGUGUGGUUAAAAACGAGAUGCAAAUGCAUCGAGAAAAGUUUCUUGCCUUGUGGAAUUCUGAACUCACCAAAUAAAGCAUAAGACAUAAUUGUGCAAGUU